rnacentral:rRNA from 1 species
AUUGAACGCUGGCGGCAGGCCUAACACAUGCAAGUCGAACGGUAACAGGAAGCAGCUUGCUGCUUUGCUGACGAGUGGCGGACGGGUGAGUAAUGUCUGGGAAACUGCCUGAUGGAGGGGGAUAACUACUGGAAACGGUAGCCAAUACCGCAUAACGUCGCAAGACCAAAGAGGGGGACCUUCGGGCCUCUUGCCAUCGGAUGUGCCCAGAUGGGAUUAGCUAGUAGGUGGGGUAACGGCUCACCUAGGCGACGAUCCCUAGCUGGUCUGAGAGGAUGACCAGCCACACUGGAACUGAGACACGGUCCAGACUCCUACGGGAGGCAGCAGUGGGGAAUAUUGCACAAUGGGCGCAAGCCUGAUGCAGCCAUGCCGCGUGUAUGAAGAAGGCCUUCGGGUUGUAAAGUACUUUCAGCGGGGAGGAAGGGAGUAAAGUUAAUACCUUUGCUCAUUGACGUUACCCGCAGAAGAAGCACCGGCUAACUCCGUG